AAACCCAUUCUGCUGGAAAAUUUAAAGCGAGGAUUAAAAUUUAUAAAACAGCACACGACCCAGUGCAGCAUCUCCCGCUCCUGCCAAUCCAUCCGAAUCACCGCGCACAGAGUGCAGCUGGGGCCACCUGCACAGGAUUAUGGCACAGGUCCCUGGUGGCACUGGGCAGCUUUGUUUACAGAGCUGUUGGCCACCAGCGCUCCUGUGGCUCCUUCCAUCCUGAGUUGCUCUGCCUGACAGCGAGAGUGGAUACAGCCGUGGCCUGGGGAACAGGGGCGGAGUGGCUUUGCUGUAACGAUGGUUCACGAUGUCCCAGCUGGCCUGCUUGAUCCUAUCUGAUCUGAUCUGGCAGCUGUGAAGAGGGGAAGAAGCAAGGAAGAGUAAGUAGAGCAACUUAGCCCACAUAAGGAUUUAAGUAUUCUUUAAUACUUAAAAGUCUGGGUUGAUUGGCUUCUCCAGAACCCCAUACAACAAAGCUAGUGAUCUUCUGAGGCAACAACUGGAGAUAGGAAGGUCUGGAGCAAAUGGCUUUGCAAAACUUAAAGGGUAACCAUUUAUGCAUUUAAUACUUCAGGCCAUCAAACAUAUUUCUUCUCGAAUUCAACCUCUGGGAAUGAAGUACCGGAGUUCCUCUCUGAAACAGACUGUGAGGCAUCCCAGCCUGCGAGCACCCGCACUGCUGCUCUGCCUCUCACCACACCACGCUCCCUGCUGCCAAGGGUUCAUGUCCCAGCGAUGAGACCAGAGCCAAUAGUGUGAUGCCAACAGAUGGAAGCAAUAAGCAAGCACAGUGACUGUAACAGAAAUAAUAAACAACCGCACGUAGAAUGUUUUCUUCAAUGCUAGCCAAGGAAAGUCCAUUAAUUCUCAUCUGGAAAUCCCUGUAACAUUUGCAGCAAGGAUCUGCCACAGCUGCGCCUGCUGCUGCCCCACAGCACACGGUUCUGCUGGGCAGGGUGAGCCCGGGCUGUUCCUUCUCACCCUGAGCACUGGGCUGCUGCAACACCGGCGUGAGAUGUUGUGUUUAUAACAUCAAGAGUUACACAUGAGGUGAUCCCAAAGCAUAAUUACUAAUAAAUGUUUAAUUAAUAGC
ensembl:lncRNA